UCUUAUUUUCAAUCUUCUUUUUUUUUUAAAGCAUUCUUUGUCUAUUUACUGCUGCUAUGAAAUGCACUAAUCUUGUUUACUUGUAUGAUACAGAAGAUGUGUUUGUCUUCACUGAAUUCAUUCCUUUUAAUUGAUUUUGGUUUGCAAUAGUCAGCAUUACAUCAUUCUCUUUUUGGACAAUGUGAAUAAAGAGCAGAAGAGGAAUUUGGACUGUGCAGUGCUGUAACAACCUUGUCUACAUGGCAAGGAGUAUGGCAAAAUGAG